GCCCAGUGUGGUGGCGCGUGCCUGUAGUCCCAGCUACUCGGGAGGCUGAGGCUGAAGGAUCGCUUGAGCCCAGGAGUUCUGGGCUGCAGUGUGCUAUGCCAAUCGGGUGUCUGCACUAAGUGCAGCAUCAAUAUGGUGACCUCACGGGAGCAGGGGACCACCAGGUUGCCUAAGGAGGGGUGAACCGGCCCAGGUCAGAAACGGAGCAGGUCAAAAUCCCGUGCUGAUCAGUAGUGGGAUGGUGCCUGUGAAUAGCCACUGCACUCCAGCCUCGGUAAUAUAGCAAGACCCCGUCUCU
rnacentral:SRP_RNA from 1 species